GACGAACGCUGGCGGCGUGCCUAAUACAUGCAAGUAGAACGCUGAAGAGAAGAGCUUGCUCUUCUUGGAUGAGUUGCGAACGGGUGAGUAACGCGUAGGUAACCUGCCUUGUAGCGGGGGAUAACUAUUGGAAACGAUAGCUAAUACCGCAUAACAAUGGAUGACACAUGUCAUUUAUUUGAAAGGGGCAAUUGCUCCACUACAAGAUGGACCUGCGUUGUAUUAGCUAGUAGGUGAGGUAAUGGCUCACCUAGGCGACGAUACAUAGCCGACCUGAGAGGGUGAUCGGCCACACUGGGACUGAGACACGGCCCAGACUCCUACGGGAGGCAGCAGUAGGGAAUCUUCGGCAAUGGGGGCAACACUGACCGAGCAACGCCGCGUGAGUGAAGAAGGUUUUCGGAUCGUAAAGCUCUGUUGUAAGUCAAGAACGGGUGUGAGAGUGGAAAGUUCACACUGUGACGGUAGCUUACCAGAAAGGGACGGCUAACUACGUG
rnacentral:rRNA from 1 species